rnacentral:rRNA from 1 species
GUAAGUGUCUAAGGGCGCAUGGUGGAUGCCUUGGCAUCGAGAGCCGAUGAAGGACGUGGGAGGCUGCGAUAUGCCUCGGGGAGCUGUCAACCGAGCGUGGAUCCGAGGAUUUCCGAAUGGGGAAACCCAGCACGAGUGAUGUCGUGCUACCCGCAUCUGAAUAUAUAGGGUGCGGGAGGGAACGCGGGGAAGUGAAACAUCUCAGUACCCGUAGGAGGAGAAAACAAUUGUGAUUCCGCAAGUAGUGGCGAGCGAACGCGGAACAGGCUAAACCGCACGCAUGGGUAACCGGGUAGGGGUUGUGUGUGCGGGGUUGUGGGAGGAUAUGUCUCAGCGCUACCCGGCUGAGAGGCAGUCAGAAAGUGUCGUGGUUAGCGGAAGUGGCCUGGGAUGGUCUGCCGUAGACGGUGAGAGCCCGGUACGCGAAAACCCGGCACCUGCCUAGUAUCAAUUCCCGAGUAGCAGCGGGCCCGUGGAAUCCGCUGUGAAUCCGCCGGGACCACCCGGUAAGCCUAAAUACUCCUCGAUGACCGAUAGCGGAUUAGUACCGUGAGGGAAUGGUGAAAAGUACCCCGGGAGGGGAGUGAAAGAGUACCUGAAACCGUGUGCCUACAAUCCGUCAGAGCCUCCUUUUCCUCUCCGGAGGAGGGUGGUGAUGGCGUGCCUUUUGAAGAAUGAGCCUGCGAGUCAGGGACAUGUCGCAAGGUUAACCCGUGUGGGGUAGCCGCAGCGAAAGCGAGUCUGAAUAGGGCGACCCACACGCGCAUACGCGCGUGUGAAUAGUGGCGUGUUCUGGACCCGAAGCGGAGUGAUCUACCCAUGGCCAGGGUGAAGCGCGGGUAAGACCGCGUGGAGGCCCGAACCCACUUAGGUUGAAGACUGAGGGGAUGAGCUGUGGGUAGGGGUGAAAGGCCAAUCAAACUCCGUGAUAGCUGGUUCUCCCCGAAAUGCAUUUAGGUGCAGCGUUGCGUGGUUCACCGCGGAGGUAGAGCUACUGGAUGGCCGAUGGGCCCUACUAGGUUACUGACGUCAGCCAAACUCCGAAUGCCGUGGUGUAAAGCGUGGCAGUGAGACGGCGGGGGAUAAGCUCCGUACGUCGAAAGGGAAACAGCCCAGAUCGCCGGCUAAGGCCCCCAAGCGUGUGCUAAGUGGGAAAGGAUGUGCAGUCGCAAAGACAACCAGGAGGUUGGCUUAGAAGCAGCCACCCUUGAAAGAGUGCGUAAUAGCUCACUGGUCAAGUGAUUGUGCGCCGAUAAUGUAGCGGGGCUCAAGCACACCGCCGAAGCCGCGGCACAUCCACCUUGUGGUGGGUGUGGGUAGGGGAGCGUCCCUCAUUCAGCGAAGCCACCGGGUGACCGGUGGUGGAGGGUGGGGGAGUGAGAAUGCAGGCAUGAGUAGCGACAAGGCAAGUGAGAACCUUGCCCGCCGAAAGACCAAGGGUUCCUGGGCCAGGCCAGUCCGCCCAGGGUGAGUCGGGACCUAAGGCGAGGCCGACAGGCGUAGUCGAUGGACAACGGGUUGAUAUUCCCGUACCCGUGUGUGGGCGCCCGUGACGAAUCAGCGGUACUAACCACCCAAAACCGGAUCGAUCACUCCCCUUCGGGGGUGUGGAGUUCUGGGGCUGCGUGGGAACUUCGCUGGUAGUAGUCAAGCGAAGGGGUGACGCAGGAAGGUAGCCGUACCAGUCAGUGGUAACACUGGGGCAAGCCGGUAGGGAGAGCGAUAGGCAAAUCCGUCGCUCACUAAUCCUGAGAGGUGACGCAUAGCCGGUUGAGGCGAAUUCGGUGAUCCUCUGCUGCCAAGAAAAGCCUCUAGCGAGCACACACACGGCCCGUACCCCAAACCGACACAGGUGGUCAGGUAGAGCAUACCAAGGCGUACGAGAUAACUAUGGUUAAGGAACUCGGCAAAAUGCCCCCGUAACUUCGGGAGAAGGGGGACCGGAAUAUCGUGAACACCCUUGCGGUGGGAGCGGGAUCCGGUCGCAGAAACCAGUGAGGAGCGACUGUUUACUAAAAACACAGGUCCGUGCGAAGUCGCAAGACGAUGUAUACGGACUGACGCCUGCCCGGUGCUGGAAGGUUAAGAGGACCCGUUAACCCGCAAGGGUGAAGCGGAGAAUUUAAGCCCCAGUAAACGGCGGUGGUAACUAUAACCAUCCUAAGGUAGCGAAAUUCCUUGUCGGGUAAGUUCCGACCUGCACGAAUGGCGUAACGACUUCUCCGCUGUCUCAACCGCGAACUCGGUGAAAUUGCAGUACGAGUAAAGAUGCUCGUUUCGCGCAGAAGGACGGAAAGACCCCGGGACCUUUACUAUAGCUUGGUAUUGGUGUUCGCUUGGACUUGUGUAGGAUAGGUGGGAGACUGUGAAGCUGCCGCGCCAGCGGUGGUGGAGUCGUCGUUGAAAUACCAUUCUGGUUCAAGCGGUCACCUCAACCUUGGCCCGUGAUCCGGGUUGGGGACAGUGCCUGGUGGGUAGUUUAACUGGGGCGGUUGCCUCCUAAAAUGUAACGGAGGCGCUCAAAGGUUCCCUCAGCCUGGUUGGUAAUCAGGUGGCGAGUGCAAGUGUACAAGGGAGCUUGACUGUGAGACCGACGGGUCGAGCAGGUGCGAAAGCAGGAACUAGUGAUCCGGCCAUGGCACGUGGGUGCGUGGUCGCUCAACGGAUAAAAGGUACCCCGGGGAUAACAGGCUGAUCUUGCCCAAGAGUCCAUAUCGACGGCAUGGUUUGGCACCUCGAUGUCGGCUCGUCGCAUCCUGGGGCUGGAGUCGGUCCCAAGGGUUGGGCUGUUCGCCCAUUAAAGCGGUACGCGAGCUGGGUUCAGAACGUCGUGAGACAGUUCGGUCCCUAUCCUCUGUGCGCGCAGGAAAUUUGAGAAGGGCCGUCCCUAGUACGAGAGGACCGGGAUGGACGAACCUCUGGUGUGCCAGUUGUACCGCCAGGUGCAUGGCUGGUUGGCUACGUUCGGAAGGGAUAACCGCUGAAAGCAUCUAAGCGGGAAGCCUGCUUCAAGAUGAGAUUUCCACGCCCCCUCGUGGGGUGAGAGGC